rnacentral:snRNA from 1 species
GUGCUUCUUUAAGAAGCACAUCCAGCUAUACUGGAAUGGUCCAUUAUUAUCAUGGCCCAUAUGCAAGGAUGACGUGCAAAUAUGUGAAGGUUUCUAUAUCAAA